UACGGAGGGGGCUAGCGUUGUUCGGAAUUACUGGGCGUAAAGCGCGCGCAGGCGGACUGUUAAGUCGGGGGUGAAAUCCCGGGGCUCAACCCCGGAACGGCCUUCGAUACUGGCAGUCUGGAGGGCGGAAGAGGUCAGUGGAAUGGCGAGUGUAGAGGUGAAAUUCGUAGAUAUUCGCCGGAACACCAGUGGCGAAGGCGACUGACUGGUCCGUUUCUGACGCUGAGGCGCGAAAGCGUGGGGAGCAAACAGG
rnacentral:rRNA from 1 species